GAACACUGGACUGUUAAAUGCAAAAGGGUUAUUUUCUUUCAUAAAUAUUUACACCUAUUUCUUUCAGGUUAUUAUUUCUCCCUUUUGAAAUGAAGUUGUGCUGUUAUCUCAGGAAGGUCUUGGAAUAUAGAAUUUUAGCUGGAAGAAAGCCAUGAUGAAGCUAUCUAAAUAAACCUGAGUGUAGUAAAUCACAAAUUAAACGAUGCUGGAGUUCUGUGGAUAUCAGCUGCCAUCAGGGGCAUUUUGUUGAAAGAGAUGUUAAAUGAACUUCUAAGUUUGAAGUAUUUGGGACAAAAUUCACUGGCCAGACUCCAAGAUUGCGGGUAAUUGAAUGAAGAUCUUUUACAGAAAGUAAUUAGGACUAAUUUGAACAGGAGCUCCAGGAAUGAACUUUCAAUAAUUUCUUUUGAGCUAAGAGUAAGGGCCACUUGCGAUAUCAUCCACAAAUCUACUACAGGAAAAGCUUUAAAAAAAAAUAUAUAUAUACCUCCAUAAAUUCCUUUUUGUAAGACUCUAAAUGUAAGCAAAGUUUUGCUAUCCAAGUUCUGGAAAGCCAGGGAAUUUGGUGAAGUUGUAUCGAGUAAAGAAGAGCAGACAUCAUUGCCAAAUCACUUUUCUAGACCAUAAGA
ensembl:lncRNA